AUUAACUCCUGUGAGAAAAGAAACCCUAACUUUCUCAUUGGAGAAGUAUGAGGGUUAUCCAUCUGGUUCAAUGGUUGACUUCGCUUGUGAUGCCUAUGGAUCUCCAAUAUUAGCAAUCAGCAGCUUGGCAGUUCAUACCAAGGACCUUGUAGCUAAUCCAAAAUGCUCUUUGCUUGUAGCAAAAGAUCCUGAGGAUAGGACUGAUUUAAUUAUAACCCUGCACCGUGAUGUUGUUUCUGUAUGUUAAUGACUUCUGAUUUUUGGAUGAUG